GUGGUUUGGAACAGGGCAGGGAUGGAGGGAAGGUCCUUGUAUCUUAGACAUCAAAAUCCCAGGAAAAUAAUUAGGAGGUGUUUGGGAUUCUGCUGAAAACUCUGACAACAGACCAGAAAUAUCUCCAAGAGCACCAGCAACCCCAGCUAUCUAGACCCGAAGUGGAUAUACUCAGAGGCAUCCUGGCCUACCCCACCCCUGACCCCAGAGAAGAUGCUGCUGCCCUCAGAAGACGCCAGAGCCAGCCACACUGCAAGUCUGGGAGGAUCGAGCAAGGCAGGCUGCUCAGUGAAGGCUUCCUCUCCUGUAGCAGGAAGAGCAUCGUUAAGAACAAGUAUGCAGGGCUGGACUACUCUGGAGAUGUAAUGACCAGAGCUGAGACCCCCGAGACCAGAGUGACUAUGAAGGACUGUCGUCACCUUGUUCCUGAACAUCUAAUGCCUCUCAGCUCCAGGAGGCCACUGAGGAGAAACCGAAGGCUAGUUUUCCUUGGAAGCCAGCAGCCUGUCCACCUGUUCCACUUCCCUGCCUCUUGCAGCCUCCGCUCAAACACUACCAUGGUUUGGGAGCACGGAAAAACUAGAAAAUACAGAAAUAUAUCAAGAAGAAAGAAAUUUAAAAAUCAACCUGAAUCCCACCAACCAGAGACAGCUAUUAAUGAUUGUGGUAUAUUUAUUGCCCAUGGCAUGGAUGGCACCGACAAUCGAGGCAGGCAGUGCUGGUGGAUACACCUAGGAGGUCCUGUUGGAAGAGGACCAUUCGUGUGCAGAAACGAGGAAAUAGACAUGUAUGAGCUGGAAGAAAAUCUUAUCCGUCUGAUUCAAUUCCCUCAUUUCACAGCUUCUCCCUCCCCAUGACUUCACUGUGCCACGACCCUUCUCCCUCUCAAGUUGCCUCUUCCUCAAAGUGCACAGCAUACCUGACGGCUUCUCUCUGCACAUCCUUCAACACCAGCUCAGCACCUGAGUCUUGGAGGCAACUCUGCCAGUAUAUGAGAAGGUACAAAUUAAAAUGCCAUGUGAUUCUAUUCCUUUAUUAGCUCAUUGGCCAAAAUUUAAAAGUAUGGCAAUGGUAGUGCUAAAGAGAGGGUGAGAAAAUAGAAAGUCUUAUAUAUGGCAGUGGAAAUUUCAACUUGCUAUAAGCAUUUUGGAUAUUAAUUUGGUAACAUUUAUUUAAAAAAUUUUUAAAUGCGUGCUCUUUGAGUUAGCAAUCCCCCUUUUGAGUAACUGUCUUCAAGUUUGUAAAUCUACACAUCUGAGAACGCUGGCUGCCACGUCCUGAGAAUUGCGCAAUGGGGAGAUUGUAGAGUAGGUCACCAGACGUUCGCUCAAAGCCUCUGGGCAAUCCUGGGACAGCUGCAAUUCUGGGCCUGGAGAGGUGCUACACUGCAGACCAAUAUGGGGAAGAUAAGCGUGUGUUCGUGUGUGAGGAUAUGUGUGUAAACAUGCGUGUAUAUUUAGAUGGCUGAUUAAUACAAAAAUAAAAUACGAACUGCUAAGUCUGACUAUGUCAAGGGGAGAAGAUUUCUUAGGCCUGGGAAGGGGAAGGGGUACAAAUUUCAUGGUCAUGUAUGUUUUUAAAAACUGGUAUAAUUGUAGGAGUGAUUUUUCUUUUAGGUAUUUAUGAGUAUUUUUCAUAUAAAGGAAACUUAAAAUCAAAAUGAAGAAAUAUUCCUGAUGGAGAGAGAAUCUCUUUGGUGCAGUUCAUUCUUCCAGGCAAUGACAUAGGCUCCUGACAAGCCUUCCGAUUGGCCGUUGCAGCUGUCUCUGGGUCACGUGAUACCCACUGGUCCAGUCAGGGUGGGACAGGAGCAUAUGGAAUUAAACUUGGCCGGGAGGUGGGCCGUGGUAAAGGCGGCUUGUCUUGAAAGGGUUUUUGGGAAUGCAGACAUCAUCAUGGAAAUGCCUAGUUCCACCUCAGCCGAGGACAGAAAUGUGGGAAAUUCCUACAUUUCAGGGACACAUAGGCGAAAGAGGAUUUGAGGGAAGUCAAAAGAGAACUAAAAUAACACAAUGCUGAGAGAGAAAGGAGGCAGCGAGGGAAUAAAUUAAAUAUGAAGAGA
rnacentral:lncRNA from 1 species